rnacentral:rRNA from 1 species
GAUUAACGCUGGCGUCGUGCCUAAUACAUGCAAGUCGAGCGAAGCGGGUACGGGUGAGUAACACGAUGAUAACCUCCUAUAAGACUAGGAUAACUUCGGGAAACCGUGGCUAAACCGGAUACUUAUAGAUGGAUCCGUUCUGCAGUAGCUAGUUGUUAAGGUAACGGCUUACCAAGGCAACGAUGCAUAGCCGACCUGAGAGUGGGAUAGGCCACCCUGGAACUGAGACAAGGUCCAGACUCCGACGGGAGGCAGCAGUAGGGAAGCUUCCGCAAUGGGCGAAAGCAUGAAGGAGAAACGCAGAGUGAGUGAUGAAGGUCUUCGGAUCGGAAAACUCUGUUAUUCGGGAAGCGGUACCUAAUCAGAAAGCCACGGCUAACUACGUGCCAGCAGCAGCGGUAAUUC